UGAGCAUGGACUUGGAAGCUCAGCCCACACACAGCCUGCCACUUUCUGUUUGUGUAAUCUUGGUCUAUGACCUUUAAACCUCAGUAUUCUCUACGAAUUGGAGAGAGCAGUAUCUACUUUGCAGCGUGUUUGUAAACGGAGAUAUCCAGAAGCUGACCUCUUUCCAUCGCCUCCACUGUUACCACCCUGGUCCAGCCACAAACACCUGGAGCCUGGAUGACUGCAAUGGCCUCCUACCUGGUUCCUCUGCUUCCCUCCUGCCCUGCUUAUGUUCUACUCUCAAUACAGCCACCUGUGUAAUUUCAAUAGAAGAUGCUCAACCAGAUUUUUCAUUUGAAGUUGUGCCUCAUUGCUGCUCAAACUGGAGGCAGAGUCAGAACCAGAAACUCCAAGCAAAGCACAAGCAGAGAGCUGGAAGGACUUCAGAGUCGAUUUGCCUUAGUGUCUAGUCGGUCUCCAGGGCAUUUACAGGAGAUGGAAGGUAGGGAAUUCACCUUUAUUGAGUGCCUGUUAGGUGCUAGGACCCGUGCUGGGUAUUUUCACCUUUAUUAGUUCAUUUUAUCCUCACAAUGACCUUGGACAGUAGGUAUGAUUCAUCAUAUUGGCCUUUUCUCCUUCUUUCAGUCAGCUUGCUUUCUCACUCCUGCUUCUUGGAAUCACCUCCCAAAUAAACUAACUGCCCUCGAGUCCUUGUCUUGGGCUCUGAUUUGGGGGGAAUCCAAACCAAAAUACUUGGGUUUUUGGUAGAAUGGAAAUGAGGACCAUCUUGUGUGCUGAUUAGUGAGAGAGAUGGUUAUUGCUGUGAGAUCUGUAAGAAAAUAGACUAAACCAGAGACAGACCCUGAAGCAGAGUAAACAAUCCCAAGGCAGGAGCUCUGUUAAGAAAAUUUCCCUUAAGUAGAGCUUUCUUUGAGAAAAUCUAUGCAAAGUGUUUCAUUCAAUAUGCCUGGAAGAAAAGACAUCAAAACAUUAACUGUUUUUCUCUUCUGAAUUAACCUUCAGUAGAAGUUCUCCUGAUCUGACUCACUUCUCUUUCUCCAUCAGUCUUGACUGCCCCCUGGGGAAUCUCAAUUUCUGUCACUGAAAUAAUGAUGUUUUCUUCCCCUGCUCCUCGCACCCCUUAGAAGACACUCAGCUGUCAUUGUCUACCUGGAAAGUAACACAGCAUGUUAGUUAAAAUAAGUUGUGGGCAAGAGUCAGCUCAAGUUCUAGUCAGCUGGGUGACUUGGUCUAGCAGUCAGGCUUUGCUGCAGGAACAAUAUCCCAAAUUCAGCGGCUUAAAACUGUAAGGUCAAGUCUCACUCCUGCAACAUGCUUGUGUUGGGUUGGUUGGGGGGGGGGAGAGGGGCCUCUGCUCCUGUAGCCCCAACUGCAGGGCCAAGGCUGUGAGCAGCAACUUUCCAGAAUGUUAAUUGUUGCUGUGGAAAAGUGCAAAGGAGGCAAAGCUCGUACUGGUUCUCUAACCUUCCAUCUGAAAAUGGCACCUGUCUCUUGCUUAAAUUUCAUUGAUGAGUUGGGUGAUCAUAACUGAGUCCCACCGAAAGGGAAAGUACUAUCCAACUUAUAGGUAAGAAAAGAAAGAAAAAAAGCAGAAUGUUUGUGAAAAAUGUCUAUUACCUUUGGACAGUCAUUUAACCUAAGUUUCAGUGUCCUCGUGGUGUACCACAGGGACCUUCACUUGACGAGGUUGUGGGAGAGUUAAAUGAGAAAUUGCUCAGAGAGCACCUGGAACGUAGCCAUUAUUCAAUAUGUGUUGCUAAUUUGACCAGGAUCCUUUGUAUAACUGAAAUAUAAUACUAAGUUUUACUGCAAAUAAUAAGUUCUUCAGUACUUUUCUGUGCAUUGCAUUUUCUAGUCUUUAAAAAUGAUUCCUAUGCUUUUUCUCCAAAUGUCUCCAAAUUCUGGCCAUUCUAAGAUGUGGAUUCUAGCACAGUGCUCCCAGCAUAAAAAGGACCUCACUAAGAAAUGAGAAAGCAGGGGUGGGUAUAGCUCAGUGGUAGAGCACAUGCUUAACAUGCAUGAGGUCCUGGGUUCAAUCUCUAGUACCUCCAUUAAGAAAAUAAAUAAAAAUAAAAGCAGUUAAUUUAAAAAAAUGAGAAAGUACUUUUUUGGAAAGAGCUCUAUUCAACUAUAAAAUGAUGAUCACUAUAUUUAUUAUUUAUAGCAAGUAUUGUUCUAAUAGAGAUUACACUCUACAUAAGUUCUUUAGAA